UAUUGGACAAUGGGGGCAACCCUGAUCCAGCGAUGCCGCGUGAGUGAAGAAGGCCUUCGGGUCGUAAAGCUCUUUAGGUUGGGAAGAAGGUUAGUUGAGGAAAUGCGACUAAUUUGACGGUACCGACAGAAUAAGCACCGGCAAACUCUGUGCCAGCAGCCGCGGUAAUACAGAGGGUGCAAGCGUUAAUCGGAGUUACUGGGCGUAAAGGGCGCGUAGGCGGUGAACUGUGUGUGAUGUGAAAGCCCCGGGCUUAACCUGGGAAGUGCAUCGCAAACUAGUUGACUGGAGUAGAUGAGAGGGUGGCGGAAUUUCCGGUGUAGCGGUGAAAUGCGUAGAGAUCGGAAGGAACGUCGAUGGCGAAGGCAGCCACCUGGCAUCAUACUGACGCUGAGGCGCGAAAGCGUGGGGAGCGAACAGG
rnacentral:rRNA from 1 species